GACGAACGCUGGCGGCGUGCCUAAUACAUGCAAGUAGAACGCUGAAGAGAGGAGCUUACUCUUCUUGGAUGGGUUGCGAACGGGUGAGUAACGCGUAGGUAACCUGCCUUGUAGCGGGGGAUAACUAUUGGAAACGAUAGCUAAUACCGCAUAACAAUGGAUGACACAUGUCAUUUAUUUGAAAGGGGCAAUUGCUCCACUACAAGAUGGACCUGCGUUGUAUUAGCUAGUAGGUGAGGUAAUGGCUCACCUAGGCGACGAUACAUAGCCGACCUGAGAGGGUGAUCGGCCACACUGGGACUGAGACACGGCCCAGACUCCUACGGGAGGCAGCAGUAGGGAAUCUUCGGCAAUGGGGGCAACCCUGACCGAGCAACGCCGCGUGAGUGAAGAAGGUUUUCGGAUCGUAAAGCUCUGUUGUAAGUCAAGAACGGGUGUGAGAGUGGAAAGUUCACACUGUGACGGUAGCUUACCAGAAAGGGACGGCUAACUACGGG
rnacentral:rRNA from 1 species